AGUGAACGCCGGCGGCGUGCUUAACACAUGCAAGUCGAACGAGAACGGAUUAUAGCUUGCUAUAAUUGUCAGCUAAGUGGCGCACGGGUGAGUAAUGUAUAGGUAAUAUGCCUCUUACUAAGGGAUAACAAAUGGAAACGUUUGCUAAUACCUUAUACUCCUUAUUAACAGAAGUUAAUAAGGGAAAGAUUUAUUGGUAAGAGAUUAGCCUGUAUUGUAUCAGUUAGUUGGUGGGGUAAUGGCUUACCAAGACUAUGACACAUAACUGGUUUGAGAGGAUGAUCAGUCACACUGGAACUGAGACACGGUCCAGACUCCUACGGGAGGCAGCAGUGGGGAAUAUUGCACAAUGGACGAAAGUCCGAUGCAGCAACGCCGCGUGGAGGAUGACACGUUUCGGUGCGUAAACUCCUUUUAUAUGAGAAGAUAAUGACGGUAUUAUAUGAAUAAGCACCGGCUAACUCCGUGCCAGCCGCCGCCGUAA
rnacentral:rRNA from 1 species